rnacentral:tRNA from 1 species
GCCCUCGUAGCUCAGCGGAUAGAGCACCGGCCUCCGGAGCCGGGUGCGCAGGUUCGAGUCCUGCCGAGGGCGCCA